rnacentral:rRNA from 1 species
AGUAAACGCUGGCGGUAGGCCUAACACAUGCAAGUCGAACGGCAGCACAGGAGAGCUUGCUCUCUGGGUGGCGAGUGGCGGACGGGUGAGGAAUACAUCGGAAUCUACUCUGUCGUGGGGGAUAACGUAGGGAAACUUACGCUAAUACCGCAUACGACCUACGGGUGAAAGCAGGGGAUCUUCGGACCUUGCGCGAUUGAAUGAGCCGAUGUCGGAUUAGCUAGUUGGCGGGGUAAAGGCCCACCAAGGCGACGAUCCGUAGCUGGUCUGAGAGGAUGAUCAGCCACACUGGAACUGAGACACGGUCCAGACUCCUACGGGAGGCAGCAGUGGGGAAUAUUGGACAAUGGGCGCAAGCCUGAUCCAGCCAUACCGCGUGGGUGAAGAAGGCCUUCGGAUUGUAAAGCCCUUUUGUUGGGAAAGAAAUCCAGCUGGCUAAUACCCGGUUGGGAUGACGGUACCCAAAGAAUAAGCACCGGCUAACUUCGUGCCAGCCGCCGCUGUAA